UUUCAAAUAAAUGCAACAUUCAAUUUUUUAAUUAAACAUGUUUGUUUACAUUUUCAGCUCCUCGACCUAAACUCACAGUGAAUCCACGGGUGAUCACAGAGACAGACUCAGUCACAUUAGACUGUCAGAUUCCAUCGUCUGUUUCUGUGUCUGAGUGUUACUUCAGCAUUUCAAGAAAACCUGCAGAAAAGUUUUCUUGUCUGAAGACAGUGACAGGAACUGAACUGCUGUCGUUGGUACAAAAAAGUCCACCUGCUACAGUUGAAGUGACGUGUUUUUACCUGAAGACACAUCAAUCUCCACACAGUAACAUGGCCUCUGUCUCCAUAGAGACUCCUCCACCUGAACUCAGAGUGAAUCCAGCAUCAGUCACAGAGACAGACUCUGUUGCAGUGAACUGUGUGACUCCACCAUCAGUGUCUGUGUCUGACUGUUAUUUAUACUCUCUGAGUACAAAAAACUGCCAAAGUCAUCUCUUGUCUGCAGACACUGACAGGAACUGAGCUUCUGUCGAUGGCGCAUCAAAGUUCACCUGCUGAGGUUGAAGUAACAUGUUUUUACACCAUAGGACAUUAUCAGUCUCCACACAGUCACAAAUCCACUAUUAGGAUUGAUGUCAAAUCCACUACAACUCAGAUGACAACUUUCAGGACGACUACAGGUUUGAUUCCCAGUACACCAACUGAACCUGUUAGUUCACUUUCUACUUCUGUGACAACAGUGGAAUCAGCAUCAGAAACGGCUUCUGAAGGGACUGAUGAAGCUACGACAGACACUUUGACUUCUGCUCGGCUUUCUGUGACCCCAGCAAACUCAUCUCCAGGCACAGCUUUCACUGCUGCAGGUGGUCUGAACUUUGCUGACACAACUCUGAUCAAUCCAGCCUCUGAUGAUAAAAUAACAGGGAGGAUUUUAUGGGUAACUGGUGCAGCUGUUACUUCAGGAGUCUUCUUGUUUGGAUUUGUGCUUCUCUUUA